AUGGACCAGGACCCAGUGGGCCCUGUGGAACGAGGAGAAGCCGUCGCAGCCUCGGGAGCUGCGGCCGCCGCGGCAUUCGGGGAAUCUGCGGGGCAGAUGAGUAACGAAAGAGGCUUUGAAACGUAGAACUGGGAGUCAUAGGAAAAAAGAAGAAAGUCCCAAGGAGAGUCAUCCACUUUGUUAGUGGCAAAACAAUGGAAGAAUACAGCACAGAUGAAGAUGAAGUUGAUGGCCUGGAGAAGAUGUUUUGCCUACUGUUGAUCCGA
rnacentral:lncRNA from 1 species